rnacentral:rRNA from 1 species
GACGAACGCUGGCGGCGUGCUUAACACAUGCAAGUCGAACGAUGAAGAAAAGAAUCGAAGCUUCGGCAGAAAUUCAUUUCGGAUUAGUGGCAGACGGGUGAGUAACGCGUGAGCAACCUACCUCUUACAAAGGGAUAGCCUCGGGAAACCGGGAUUAAUACCAUAUAACAUUGCGACGAAGCAUUUCGAUGCAAUCAAAGCUACGGCGGUAAGAGAUGGGCUCGCGUCCCAUUAACCGGAUGGUGAGGUAACGGCUCACCAUAGUGACGAUGGGUAACCGGCCUGAGAGGGUGAACGGUCACACUGGAACUGAGACACGGUCCAGACUCCUACGGGAGGCAGAAGUGGGGAAUAGUGCACAAUGGAGGGAACUCUGAUGCAGCGACGCCGCGUGAGUGAUGAAGGAAUUCGUUUCGUAAAACUCUGUUCUAUGGGAAGAAAAGGACUGUACCAUAGGAGAAAGCUCCGGCUAAAUACGUG